UUGGCCACCACAAAAAUGUUCUUUAUGGAGUUCAGAGGCAGAAACUAUACAUCCAGGAGUGAAUUGACAAUGAUCUCAUAUGACAGAUGGACUUAGAGAAGAAUUAAAGACACGCUGGGGCUGAGCCAAGAGAGAACUUCCCCUUGAUGUAAUCAGCAAAUAAGAAAGUCAAAUGAUUCUACCUUUACAACAAAGACUCUGAGGCUCAAAGAGAUUAAGAUGCCUACAGUUGCAGAGAAAGAGCCCCCUGGGAUCUGAAGAGGAAGAGGCUCUAUAGUCAGAGCCAGGCUUACUCCGUCAGACGUUCUGAAAUCUUCAGUCCCUGCAGCCUUCAGAAUGAUUCUGCCUCCCCCAUCCCUCUAAACGCCCUUCAUCCUGUGCAACAUGAAAUAUCCAACUGGAGCAUUUCAGGAUGGAAAUGAUAUGUCUCAAAGACAUGUAUAUCUUACAUAGACAUACAAACACACACAGCCAUACUCUCUAAGACUACAUAUGUUUGGAGGGAAAGAGUUUAAUAGGGUUUCUUAAUGGACCUUGA
rnacentral:lncRNA from 1 species